AUAAUGGGUCAGCGACUUAUAUUCUGUAGCAAGGUUAACCGAAUAGGGGAGCCGAAGGGAAACCGAGUCUUAACUGGGCGUUAAGUUGCAGGGUAUAGACCCGAAACCCGGUGAUCUAGCCAUGGGCAGGUUGAAGGUUGGGUAACACUAACUGGAGGACCGAACCGACUAAUGUUGAAAAAUUAGCGGAUGACUUGUGGCUGGGGGUGAAAGGCCAAUCAAACCGGGAGAUAGCUGGUUCUCCCCGAAAGCUAUUUAGGUAGCGCCUCGUGAAUUCAUCUCCGGGGGUAGAGCACUGUUUCGGCAAGGGGGUCAUCCCGACUUACCAACCCGAUGCAAACUGCGAAUACCGGAGAAUGUUAUCACGGGAGACACACGGCGGGUGCUAACGUCCGUCGUGAAGAGGGAAACAACCCAGACCGCCAGCUAAGGUCCCAAAGUCAUGGUUAAGUGGGAAACGAUGUGGGAAGGCCCAGACAGCCAGGAUGUUGGCUUAGAAGCAGCCAUCAUUUAAAGAAAGCGUAAUAGCUCACUGGUCGAGUCGGCCUGCGCGGAAGAUGUAACGGGGCUAAACCAUGCACCGAAGCUGCGGCAGCGACGCUUAUGCGUUGUUGGGUAGGGGAGCGUUCUGUAAGCCUGUGAAGGUGUGCUGUGAGGCAUGCUGGAGGUAUCAGAAGUGCGAAUGCUGACAUAAGUAACGAUAAAGCGGGUGAAAAGCCCGCUCGCCGGAAGACCAAGGGUUCCUGUCCAACGUUAAUCGGGGCAGGGUGAGUCGACCCCUAAGGCGAGGCCGAAAGGCGUAGUCGAUGGGAAACAGGUUAAUAUUCCUGUACUUGGUGUUACUGCGAAGGGGGGACGGAGAAGGCUAUGUUGGCCGGGCGACGGUUGUCCCGGUUUAAGCGUGUAGGCUGGUUUUCCAGGCAAAUCCGGAAAAUCAAGGCUGAGGCGUGAUGACGAGGCACUACGGUGCUGAAGCAACAAAUGCCCUGCUUCCAGGAAAAGCCUCUAAGCAUCAGGUAACAUCAAAUCGUACCCCAAACCGACACAGGUGGUCAGGUAGAGAAUACCAAGGCGCUUGAGAGAACUCGGGUGAAGGAACUAGGCAAAAUGGUGCCGUAACUUCGGGAGAAGGCACGCUGAUAUGUAGGUGAAGUCCCUCGCGGAUGGAGCUGAAAUCAGUCGAAGAUACCAGCUGGCUGCAACUGUUUAUUAAAAACACAGCACUGUGCAAACACGAAAGUGGACGUAUACGGUGUGACGCCUGCCCGGUGCCGGAAGGUUAAUUGAUGGGGUCAGCGCAAGCGAAGCUCUUGAUCGAAGCCCCGGUAAACGGCGGCCGUAACUAUAACGGUCCUAAGGUAGCGAAAUUCCUUGUCGGGUAAGUUCCGACCUGCACGAAUGGCGUAAUGAUGGCCAGGCUGUCUCCACCCGAGACUCAGUGAAAUUGAACUCGCUGUGAAGAUGCAGUGUACCCGCGGCAAGACGGAAAGACCCCGUGAACCUUUACUAUAGCUUGACACUGAACAUUGAGCCUUGAUG
rnacentral:rRNA from 1 species